ACGCUCAGAUUGAUCUUACAAUAAUCUUUUAAACCAUCUCUGAAACGACUUAAACAAUUGAGACUCGAGAUGAUCAAGUACUUAUUUUUAUAUACAAUGACUUUUCUAAUGUUGUUCGUAAGAGAAGUGACAGGGAAUAUGGAGGCGGUCAGCUAUUGCUUUGAGCUUCUGUUUGGAAUGGAUAUACAAUAUGACCACUUUUGUGAGGAGUAUGGCGACAUCUGUGAUAUAUUCUGCAAGAAAUAAAUUCCUCACAACCUAGCAAAUUUGAUCCUUCGAUUCGUGUCUGUAAUAAAACUACAAGCAGCAAUAAUAAAAGUCCCAGACAAUGUGC